rnacentral:rRNA from 1 species
AGGAUCAUUACCGAACUGUCAAACACGGGCUGUUGCUGGUNNNNNAAAUGGGGGCAUGUGCACGCUCUGUUUUACACAUCCANUNNNACCUGUGCACCCACUGUAGUUCUAUGGUCGGGGGACCCUGUCUUCCUUCUGCGGUUCUGCAUCUUUACACAUANACCGUAACAAAGUCUUAAGGAAUGUGUGCUGCGUUUAACGCAAUACAGUACAACUUUCAGCAACGGAUCUCUUGGCUCUCGCAUCGAUGAAGAACGCAGCGAAAUGCGAUAAGUAAUGUGAAUUGCAGAAUUCAGUGAAUCAUCGAAUCUUUGAACGCACCUUGCGCCCCUUGGCUAUUCCGAAGGGCAUGCCUGUUUGAGUAUCAUGAACACCUCAACUCUCACGGCUUUCCGUGAUGAGCUUGGACUUUGGGGGUUUUGCUGGCCCAUGAGGUCUGCUCCUCUCAAACGAAUCAGCUUGCCGGUGUUUGGCGGCAACCGUGGGUGUGAUAACUAUCUACGCUCGUGGUUUUCUGCC